AACUCAAAGGAAUUGACGGGGCCGCACAAGCGGAGGAACAUGUGGUUUAAUUCGAUGAUACGCGAGGAACCUUACCUGGGCUUAAAUGGGGAGUGACAGCUGUCGAAAGAUGGUUUUCUUCGGACACUCUUCAAGGUGCUGCAUGGUUGUCGUCAGCUCGUGCCGUGAGGUGUCGGGUUAAGUCCCAUAACGAGCGCAACCCUUACCGUUAGUUACCAUCAGGUUAAGCUGGGGACUCUAGCGGGACUGCCACCGUAAGGUGAGAGGAAGGUGGGGAUGACGUCAAAUCAGCACGGCCCUUAUGUCCAGGGCUACACACGUGUUACAAUGGCCGGUACAAAGGGCAGCUACUUCGCGAGAAGAUGCUAAUCUCGAAAGCCGGUCUCAGUUCGGAUCGAAGUCUGCAACCCGACUUCGUGAAGCUGGAUUCGCUAGUAAUCGCGCAUCAGCCAUGGCGCGGUGAAUACGUUCCCGGGCCUU
rnacentral:rRNA from 1 species